AAAUGCGGGGAGAGAUGCCCUGGACCAUCUUGCUUUUUGCAGCUGGCUCCUUGGCGAUCCCAGCACCAUCCAUCCGGCUGGUGCCCCCGUACCCAAGCAGCCAAGAGGACCCCAUCCACAUCGCAUGCAUGGCCCCUGGGAACUUCCCGGGGGCGAAUUUCACACUGUAUCGAGGGAGGCAGGUGGUCCAGCUCCUGCAGGCCCCCAUGGACCAGCACGGGGUGACAUUUAACCUGAGCGGCGGCAGCAGCGAGGCUCCAGGGGAACCCUUCUACUGCCAGUAUGGAGUGUUAGGUGAGCUCAACCAGUCCCAGCUGUCAGACCUCAGCAAGCCCGUGAACGUCUCCUUCCCAGUGCCCACUUGGAUCUUGGUGCUCUGCCUGAGCCUGGCUGGUGCCCUCUUCCUCCUUGCUGUGGCUGUUGCCCUGGUGGUCAGAAAAGUUAAACUCAAAAAUUUACAGAAGAAAAGAGAUCGAGAAUCCUGCUGGGCCCAGAUUAACUUCAACAGUGCAGGUCUGUGCCUCCACACUCCUGACUCCGGUAGGGAAAGGAUUACACCUCCAAAUGCCAUCAGGCCUCAUCACACACCAAUCAAAUUUCUUCUGUGACUGCUUGUUCCCUUUAGGGUCAAAACACACCCUCGCCACCUCUUCCCUUGG
rnacentral:sRNA from 1 species